CGAUGACGAUGCACUCGAGCAGAGCUGGUUUAUGUUCCUCCACCAUGAGAGGCUUUAUCGGUGUCGCGAAAUGUGGCGCUAUGCCCUCUUCUUCUUUUUCUGCAGAGAAAGAAAACGUUAUGGAUGGCAAUCGUUGAAUCAUCACUCGUUUGAGGGAAAAAGAUAUCUGAUUAUCAUGCUAAAAACAAACUGGCAGACUGGUACGCGAAAUGAAAUGUGGAUCGGGUAAGUGAUUUAUUAUGUAUGUUAAAUUAUCGUUUUAAAGAUUUAAUGAUUCGUUUCUAGUGGAAUAUAUGGUGUAACGAAUUAUCUUUAAUUAAUUAUAGAUAUAAUCAUGUAUUUAUAAUUAAUUAUAGAAAUUAGUUUGUUAUAUUAUUUGUAUUUUAUUGUAAGUUAAUGCAAUACAUACUUAAGUUUAAUUGAUAAUACGUAAUAAUGGUUUUCAAUAAUCAUUUUGUAAAUAUAUACAGUUAAAAGAUUUAAAAGUUGUAAUAUUAAUUGAUUUUUGUAAAAACAAUUUGUAAAGUUAUAUAAAUAUUUAAAUUAUUUACUAUAUAAUAAAUCAUACAAAAAAAAUUCAAUUAAUUAAGAAUUACAAAUCGAUCAUUUAAUUAUUUUAUUUCUCCCAUAAUAUCUUUUAUUAAAACUAAUUUUUUUUUGCUAUAACUUUCUGAGAAAUCAAAAAUAUUAAAAAAUUAUUUUAUAGAGUAAAAUUAUUUCAACUUUGAAAUAUCACAUAUAGAAAAAAUAAUAGACAUAUGUCAUUACAUAAAUCAUAAAUACAUAUGUCAUCUAAUUAAUAUUUCAUAGAAUAUGCAAAAUAUUGUAUUCAUAAUUACAAUUAUAACAAUUACGUAUCGUUUGUAUAAAAAUUCUUAUUUAAUAUUCAAAAUAUCAACAGGACGAAUAACGAUUCAAUUGAAUUCAAAAAUUGUAGUGCCAAGCAAAACGAUAUUAGGAUUAGAUACGCAUAAAAACAAAAAAUUUAUUUCCAUUCGUAAAUCAUGUCAAAAUUCCUCUACGGAUCCAACAAUAAAAAGUUUACGUUUUCUAGUUCACAAUUUUACGCUAAACACAACUUGUGAACUGUGAAAUGGAAAAUUGAAACGAUCAAAAAUGAUUUAUUUUCAAUUUCUGUGUUCUUCUUGUAUCUCGAUUUCACGAACAAUGCCGUCAUUUGUGCUAUAAUAUGCCAAACGAGAGCCCAUCCAAGCGGAGGAUAUUUUUAAUUAUUACCACCACAGCCACUGUACAACUCGAAUAAAAUGAACGAGUCUGAAGGAAGGAUGGAAUAAUUAGACCAACCGAGAUUGCAAACAGGAAACGAAUCAUGUUUCAUUUUAAUAUGAUACAUAUAGUCAGUUACAGAAGUCUUGACAGACAAAUCCAACUAAUAAAUUGUAUUAUCAAAACCAGCAAUAAUUUUGUUUCAUAUGAUUGUAAUAUAAUACUGUAAAUAGAUCACAAUGAUCUAAGCUCUUUCUUUAUUUCUUUCUUCAUUUAUUAGAUAAAAUGUUAAAAUUUCAAUCAAAUAAUAAUAAUAAUAGCUUUUAUUAAAAUUAAUAAAAUUUUUGUACAUAUAAAUGAUUUAAUAUAAAAUUUGUCAUAACUAUAAUAAUAAUUAUUAAAUUUAAUAAAUCUAUAAGACGAUGAAAUUUUUGUUAUAUAUAAAAUUGCAACAUAAAUGAGAUGAAUAAAUAAUUUAACUGAUGAAUAUUUGAUCUUGGAUAAAAUAAAUAAUAAAAUUAAUAAUCAAAAUCUAAUAUUAUUCAUUAGAAUCAUUUUUAUUCGUUUAAUAACUUUAAUAAAAGGAUGAAAUCGAUCCUUAUAUAAGAAUCGAUUCUUAAAUAUUAUUUUUUAUUUCUUUUUCAAAAUAAUAAAUUUUAAAUUGAAUCUGAAAUCUGAAAUAUUCAAAUUUUAAUACCUCUUAAAAAAUAUUUCGAAAGAAAAUUUUAUAUACGAAAUAAAUUGUUUCAUAUAUGUAAUUUUGUGCAACAAUAAGUUUUCAUUAAAAUCCAAUUUUUCAAAAUAGGCAAAUUCCCAUUACAAUAUUUGAAGAUACUUUUGUGACUGAUUGUAACAUAGAAACAAUGAAUGACGACACACGGCCGGUUUGCAAAAUAAAUUUGCGGAUAAAUCACAAUUUCAAUUAAUCAUAAUAUGGUCAUACGGCAAUGUAACCCGGGUCUUAUAAAUUUUCCUUGGUAUUCGCGUGUAAAUGCACUUGAAAAUUUACGUUUCGCAACGUCUGGAUGGCCUAUGGACCAGGUCCAAGUCGACCUCGCAAAAGAGAAAUCAAGGCACAUCGCCAACGGAUCGGCCUUCGAAAAACCGAGUUAUUCGGAUUGUUAAUAUUCUGAUGUGAAAUAAUAAUCUUGAUGAAGCGAGAUUUAUUUUUAAAAAUAAAUCACAUCUGAUUCCACGAUCUUCCAUUUCAAAACAGAUUAUACUUUUGCGUAACGAAUUUACAGCAUCGUAGUUAUAUCGAAUCGAAUAAAUUUCAUAAAAAAAUCGCGAAACUUGUUUGUUUUAAUGUCAUGAUUUUUUCUGUUUUCUUUUCUUCUGUUUCGUUUUCUUUUUCUCUUUUUUUAAGAAAAGAGAUUGAAUUUAUGACCAUAGUUGUUUUCGAAAGGAAGAAUUAACCAAUUCUCAAAACGUUGAAAAUGGUCGGUUCAAGCAUGAUGGUUACUUGAUUUCUUUUUCAUCCUCAGCAGGAGGCUUUGCCGUAAUAUCAACGAAAUCGUGGAAUACGGUCUGGUCUUAAACUUCGCGUGACUUUAUUUUUAAACACAACAAGAAACGAACGAUUCGUUAUCGGUUAGGGAGAAUCCAAAUGAAACUUUUUUGCAGUUCUAUAUUUUUUUUUAAUUUUUUGUCUUUUUUUUAUGGGUUAUUUGUAUUAACCAUAAACAAUCUUUCCCCUAUGGGAAUGAAUAAUUAAUAAGAUUCUUUUGUUUUUUGUGUUGAAUUAAUCCAAAUAAACAAAAAAUAUUAAUAAAACUAUAUGAAUGGAUAUUAUUAAUUUUAUAAAUUACGUUUCUAGUAUAAUUUACAAAUCAAUUGGAUAUAAUACUGAAAUACCAUGAUCUGACAUAUCAUGGAUAUUGUUAUUAAACUUUGUUAUUUUCUAAAUUAUUUUUAAAUUAUUCUCUACUUUCUUCAACUAUUUCAAAACUUCUUUGAAUAACUUUUAUUGACAAAUUUCAAAUUUCAAAUUUUCUAAUUAUUCACUGUUUCUUUCAGUCAUAAUCGCAGAAUUCUUUUUUAAAAUUUUUAAUCUUCUUAAUUUUUUACAAAAUUAUUAAGAAGUCCUUCAGCAGUCAAUUUUGCAAUUCGAAAUUUUCUUCAGAAUUCCAACAUCUGUAAUUUUUUUACAAUUUUUUUUUUUCAAACUUUCAUAUCAACAUUCCUAUCAAUAUCUUCCUUCUUCCAAAAUCCCUUUCAACAUCGAUUCUCUAACUAAAUCUUUACAAAUAUCAAAAAAAAAAAAUUAUUCAACCAUCAAAAUUCCAAUAAUUUACUCUUCCUUCUCCAUCUCCAAAUCAAACGAAACCAAAAAUAAAAAAUUCUUUUCCAAAAAUUCCAACGAAACGAAUGCAUUCCAACAAAGUGCACAGUCAGAGUUGGACAUUGAUUCAUUGAAAAAGUAAUUAAUUAAAAUUAUUUUAAUCGUAAUCACUUAUUAAAAUGCUUGAACUACAUUUAUUCAUAUAUAUUAUAAUUGAUUUGCUUUUCGCAUAAUCUCGAUCGUUUCUUUUUUUUUUUAAUUAUAUUUUGAACAAUAAACCGAUUGAAAUAACUUUAUUCAAAUUAUUAAAUUUAUUUUCCCCAUCACUGUGCAUAGCGCUUCCAGCACACAAGUGCUCGGUCCCGUCUCUCGUCUGUUAGACACCAACGUUUCCACGAAGAGUAGGUGCAACGCGGAAGCACCGUCUAGCAUUCCAAGCUCGCUAAUAACCCGGCGGCGGGUCAUUAUUCUAGAAGGAGGUGACGGCGGUCGCCACGCAGUUUCCCACUCAAAAUGAAAAACCCGAACGCGAACACGUGGAGGGGAUGAUGCAUGCAGAGGCUACUUUCAGUGGCCGACGACUUCAGUAUACGUUGGUGGGGUUGGACUCUCGUGUCUCACGCACGCACACUCUCUACCCCGAGCUUAGUCUAGCCUUAAUAGUCAUCCACUGGAAGCCGGAGACGAUCGAAUCUGUCCUCCGCCACAAUCAUGCGUCCGUCCUCUCUGAAUUUUCCAUCGUUUUUUCGCGCCAUCGUCGACCGUCCAAGGAGAGUGAUUCAUGAUAUAGGUGGGCAAGACAAUGGUUGUUGUUUAUUAUGCCGAGUCUCGUUCUUGGUUGACACGUGAUGACGGAUGGAAUGAUACAAUAACGCUAGGAUUUAACGGAUGACACACGGAAAUUUAUUCGAUGAAUCAUUCAUACGAUUGGAGUGGUCAUGUACAGAAAUAAAAAUAAAAUCAACGUUUAGCGAGACGUGGUUGUCCCUGACCUUCUUCUUUCCCUCGUUUACACUAAUUUCAUUCAAUUUCUACUAAUCUCUUUUAUAUAUAACAAUAUAUAUUUCUAAAAAUUUAUGUUUAAUUCAACAGUGUAUCAAGGGAUAUAACAUAUCGAUUUAUAAUAUAUUAUAAUUAUAUAUUUAAAUUCCUAUUAAUUUUUAUUACUAUUUACAAUUGUCAAAAAUUUAUUAGUUAUAGAAAAAUAUGUAUUCUUAUAUUUAAAGAUACAGAUUAAGUUAUCUAGGAUAAAAUUCUACAGUAUAUAUCUUUAUUAUUUAUUACUACAAAAAUUUUUUUCCAAUACUUUUUUCGAAACGAUUGCCUAUUUUAAAAUUCCUUCCAAUCACAUCCCACUAAAAGUUAAUUCCUCGAGGCAAGAAUCGAGCCGAUAUAUUUCACGAUGUAUCGUCGAAAAUAAUAAAAAAUACAAGUUCAAAGUCGAGGUAACGAUAACAAGGGAUUAACAUCGAUUCAGCUCGAAGCCAGUUGGAAGCGGAGCCGGAAUAAGCCGACCGAUCCGUGACGACGGCCAACACUGUGACCGUGUAUCUCGACGUUUCUCUGUUGAGUGUGAAUCGAGGGCCUCCCUCGCCGCCACGCGAGGAGCGAUCGAGGGGCCGUGGAUCAACCAGAAAUAAUUCGUUCCCGUGUUCCAGAGUGCGCUGACACCCGCUCCACUGUAUUAUUUCUAGCGGAUCUGAAUCACUGAGGCAGCUGGGAUGGCCGAAAUAGUCGGCUUCGUCGGCGGCUUCUGCCUCCCUCCAUCGACGCCUGGCCGAACGGGCAAACAGUCGUUAACGAUCAAGCAACGGCUGGCCGCUGUGGGUGGAAGAUGGAAAAGAAGGGCCCGAACACGCACGCACAGGAUGAAUCAUUGCCCGUUUCUUUUUCUCCCUCUCUCCACCCCCUCCCUCCCCUCGACCGGCAGACAAGAUGUUUGGCAGUUUGUCUUCUUCUUGAUGGCGGUUCAGGUAGUUCGGUCGUCGUUGAUUCAAGGUCGUGCGAAUAAGUCGAUGAAGGAGAGUAAAUGAUGUGGUUCGAACAAAAAUAGGAAUUUGUUCUUCUUGGAGAAUCCUUUUGGAGAAUGAGACAAUGUGAUUAUGGAGGAGGGAGGGAUGACUAUUGAACAUUUGUGAAACGAGGAAUCUAGUUUUUAUGGAAUUCUUCGAGAAUUAUAUUGGAGAUGAGGAAGAUUGAAUUAAUUUUUUUUUAAUCUUUGGGGAAUCGUUAAUGGAAUUCAAGGAAUUAAUCUUGAAAAUGCACGAUGAGGAAUUUAUGGAUUUCUGGAAUUCUCUAACGAUGCGUUUUUAUAUACGAAAAGAUAUCUGGAAUAACAAGAUGGAAAAUGAAGAACGAAGAUCAGAGGAUAAAACGAAGGGACUUUAUUUUUCUUUUAAGGAUUCUGGAUUAAAAUCAAAUAUCGUGUGUACAAUAGGAAUUUGUUUCGAGAAUGAGAAAUAUCUGUUUCAGAUUCAAGAGACUGAUGUCAUUGAUUUUUCAGAGAAUCGUUUUGGUUUUGUCUCUUUUAUGAUAAUUAAUGCAAAUAAGCAUAGAAUAUAUUUUUCGUAAAAAUUAUAAUUUUGAAAAAUCUUAUAUCAUAGUCAGUUUCUUGAUCUUUAUUCUUUGUGUACACAAAGAGAAAUCUAUUUUUAAAGAAUUUUAAAUUCGACACGUGGCCUUAUGCUUCUUAUGAUCAAAGUAAUGGAAUUUUUCUUCCAAAGAAAAAAAUUUCUACUUGAUUUCUAUUCAAAUAAGAAUCCGUUCUUCUUUAAAAUUCAUUAACGAUUACAUUACAUUUUGUAUAAACAAAAUUUUAAAAUUUCUCUUACAUUACAAUCUAAAAAUUCAUGUACACAAAGAAGAAUUUUGUCCAGGACACGUAAUAUUAUGGUGGAUAGAAAUCUUAAGGGUCUCUGAAAUCCUUGAGAAAAUAUUUCUCUAUAUAUUUCAUCCGACAAUCUUCUGUUGUUGUCAAGUCGGUUAUUUCGGCAUCUCGAAUUCAUUAGUGCACAGCGAGGGACGAUAAUUACCUCUCGUAUAGCGGUUUAACAGCCUUGAUCUCAUAGCACGAUCACUCACACACGCUCGAAAUAAUCUCAUGCACGAUAUGUAAUUUUCUUGGUUCUUACCCAGCUAGGCCGAAUCUAACAUUUAUUUAUGAUCGACGAAGAUAUUGGGAUUGUUUCUCUUUUUGUUCUCCCUUUUCCAUGAUUAUUUCUCAUCGAUAAUUAUUAAAAUUCGAUUUUUUUAAAAAUUCGUAAUCGCCAUUUAUUUAAAACGAAAUUUAUUAAUUGUUUAUUCUUCAUGAAACGUCCCCCAUUACUUUCCUCGCUUUGUUCCAUCUUCUUUCUUAAAAUGAAUUUUAAACGAAAUGAAUCUUUUCCAAAUAUUAAAUAGAUUAAAUAAAAAUGAUCCGAGUAAAUAUGACAGAUUAAAUAAAUAAAAUCAGAUUAGGAGAAUAAUCUAUGCAUAGAAGAAUUUCUUAUUCCAUUCGUCAUUUUUAUAAACGAUUUGCAAUUUCAAGUUUAAAACAAAUCAUAUUACAAAUAUAUCAUUAUAUUCCUUUCCCUCGUCUCAUCGAAUAGUAUACGAAUAGUAGUAGAAAUAUAUAUACUAGUUACAAUAAAUAACAAUUUAAUUGUAAGAAAAAUUCUAUAAGAAAAUUACAAAUAACGCCAUAAAUUUCUUGGUAUUAUACCAAUUACAAUUAAAUUCCAGCUAUCUAACGAUAUAAUUCUCACGUUAAGAACAAAGUUAAAGAACGUCUUCGAGACUUUGGCACGUUGAAGAAGAUGGCGGAUUCAUUACGAUGGACCCGUCCCUACCCUCCCCGCGAUUAAUCAAACGGCUGUGCAGACCGGAUUCACGGUCUAAUUUUGCAUCAGGUCGUCGGUUCGUAACGGUGUCGUGCGAGGACCGGUCAAGUAAUAUGACGAUGAUCCUCCUCGCGAGGCUGAAACGCGCUGGGCAACACGAGAAUACCACUGUUCCGUACACGGAGCAUCGUGCGCUGGAUGCAGGCCUGGUUCACGUAAUGGAACGCGAGGGAAUCUUCUUUGUUUCCGGUCACGCGCGUUGAUCAUGGAGAGUUACGGAUCUGCUCCAGUUUUAAUCUUUCUUUAAGAAUAAUUUCGAGACAGGGAUAAUCUUUAUUCUGCGCUUUCAACGAGAAGAAAUUAUGAAAUUAUUCUAUACGAUAAAUUUAUAUUUUUAAAAAAUGUAUUAAAAACAUAUUAUUAUCGUCUUUUAUUUUAAAAUCAAUUUUUAAUUUAACAUAUUCAUUGCUAGUUUGGAUUUUUCAUUAUUUUUCAUUAUUUGUUAUUACUAGAUAAUAAUAUAGUGAUAAUAAUUUCAGUUUCAUCAAAGAAAUUAAAAAAAGUUAAAGUUUGAAUUAUAUUAUAGCAUUAAAUUUAUUUCAUUUAAACAUCAGGAAAAAGUAAGCAAUUACAUAAAUUUUCCAGUUGGUACUAAUUAUUGCUAGAUAUUCCUUGAAUUUUAUUUUCACUCUGCACUUUCUAUAAAUUUCUAUAAAAUAUCUUUUCAUACUUUAAAAGUUUAAAAAAAAUUUCCUCAUUUAAUCUACAUCUAAUUUAUACUAUCCACUGUAACAUCUAAUUGUCAUAAUUUCAUAAAAUCUAUUAUGAAAUAACUCGAGGAAUCGAGGAAUAAGCAGCGAAAUUUAAUGUCAUGUUAUCAUUGAAUAUAACAGAAAAUUUUGCAAUAAUACAAUUUUAUUUAUUAAAAAUCAAAAGCUAAAUCAAUUCGUAAUUUCUCAAUUUUUCAAAUUAAAAUAACAAAAUCUAACUAAAUUAAUCUUCGAAAAAAUGGUGUUGCAUUUCUCUGCUAUUAUAAUAGUAUCUAUCUUAAUAAUGUUACAAAACAAAAUCAUUUAAAAUAAUUGCAAGAUAUCAUCCAAUUAUAUUUAUUUUUAUCGCAGAAUAGAAUUCGACUCUUUCUCAUACAUCAUAGAGUCGCAUUAUCUAUUUAAAUAUGAAUUCGCAAUGACAAUACCGAACAAAAUUAUAAGUUGCACUGCACCCUAUCAUUUAGAUAAUUCAUAUUUCAAUCAAAGAAAAAAAUUGAAAUUCUUCUCACAACUAUAUAUCCUCUAUAUCUCGAAUGAUAAUAUGAAAUAAAAUAAUUCGUUGGAUCGCAUCGUAUCGCAUCACACUCGAUGAUGCUCAAUAAUGAUACGACACGAAGAACCCAUCCAAUCGAAUUGUCUCUCGAGCAAAAUAUCGAAAAGUGGUAUCGUGCACUCGUGUGCACGAUAUCGAAGCAAGAAGAUUCUAGACCCCACGUGAAUUUUGCUGUAUGUUCGCCGAGUUCUUCAUCGGCGACCAAAUAUAGCCGGGUAAUGUUAUACACGUCACGUGGUCAGAAAUAGCCUAAGAAGAGGGCCUAGCCGAGUGUGCACACGGCACUGUGUGCACCCUCCGCCGUCCCUCCGUUUUGAAACGAGGCGGACUACCAGAAGCGAUGAGGAAAAUACGUUUACCUCUUCACGCUCGUUAAACCAGUUACCAGAGAGAAAGGUGAUACCGGGUACAGACAGAAACAUGGAUUGUAAAAGACGAGUGUAUAAGCGGUAUACGUCGGUGGAAAUCCCUCGCGUCAGGCAAUGACAUAUAACGAGGGAGACGAAAAUUUUUUUUUUUUCUUGAGGCUUAAGGCAGCUAUGAUUCUCGAAUAGAAAAAUGAAAAUUAUACGGGGAAAAGAUUUUUCUAUGAUUCUUUAAGAAGAAUACAUUUUUUUUCCUUUAAAUUAUUUUAUUAUGUAAUAUAAUGGGGAAAUAUUGAGAUAGAACAAUGGAAUUUGGAAUCAAUGGAUCUUCUUUAUCGUUUAAGAAUUGUAUAAUAAAUUUUUAACUUUCGUUGUGUUAUUUGAUUAAUUUUAAAAUUGAUUUUAAGAUUAGAUUAGAUUUAUUACUGUAUUUAUAAUUGGUAAUACUAAUUGAUUUAACUAUGCAUGAUUAUAGAUUUUUUUAUAGAUUGGAUUAAAUGAUAUAAUUGAAAUAUAUGUAAUUAAAAUUAUCUUUUAUUUAAUUUUAUUUAAAAUAUAUUUGAUAAAGAAUUAAAAAAUUCUGGAUAUAUUUAAUGUCCAAAUUGUUUAUUUGAAUCAAUAUAUAAUUAUUUUUAUUAUAUAUAUGAUUAAUUUGCAAGCAAUAUGAAAAUUAUACUAUUAUUAUUUUAUUUUAAAAAAAAAAUAUUUCAAGAAAAUUUAUUAAAUUCAAUGUUAAUACACAAUUUUAAUUACUCGAUUUUUAUUAUCCACUACUGAUUAUUUUUCAUCAAAUUUUUAAUUUUCUCUUUUUAAAUUUCCCGCCUAAAAUAAAUGCGAACCAAUAAAAUUUCAAUUUUUCAAUUAUUAUGUGCCAAACAUUUGUUAUCAAAUUCCUAAUUUUAUCUUUAAUCUACUAUUAUUAUCCAUCCAUGAAUAUUCAAUUCCAAUUACUAAUAUUCUCUUUUCAAAAAUUCCCGCCUCAAAUAGAAACGAAUUGGUGAAAGGUGUUAUAUACUACCCCGGCCCGUAAUGUCGUCUUAAUAUACACGGCCAACUCUGAAACAACUUGAACCUCCUUCCAAGAACCUCGCGAACCGCCUAAACUUCUAAACUUCACACGUUUCUACACUUUUCUCGAACGAAACUCAUCAGAUUUUGCUUUCGUUUUUCGAUGUCAAAUAUAGCCCUGCAUCUGGACUUGGUUUCAAAGCAAAGUAGCAACACUUCGGCUCCUUCUCUUCCCUUAUUUUAGCCGUGUAUAAAUCUGCCAAGUGUUGCACCGUGGGGAUCGCUCGUUAACAAUCCUCGCGACUCAUUGUCCGAUCGAUCGUCACGCUGAUUAAGAACAGCCCGUUUCUAUUUCUAUCCACCUCGAUUUCCAUCCAACGAUUCACCCACCCCGUUACGAAAGUUUCGCAUUAUUUUCAAGGUGGUGAGCCGGUUUACGAGCCGUGAUUCAUUCCGUGUGUACCGCGGUGUUUUCGGGUACACAUUUCGUAAGCAAAACGCGGACGAAUUUAUGACGCGGGGAAACGUGGCUGGCAGCAAUUACGUUGCGGACUGCAAAAGUCAAUUUACAUUCGCUGCUCCUAUAUUUGUCCGCAGCCUGGCGCAUUCGUACAUUCCGAGACGAUAAUCUUUUAUGCGGGAGAAAGGCUUUCUUUUCUGAUUCAGAGUUUUGCGAUUAUUUUUCUGAUUUUUUUUCUUUUUUUUUUUUUAUUUGGGAUGUUUGAUGAUUUUGUUGUUGAUGUUUUUUUUGAGAUAUUUAAUUUUGAUAAUAUACUAUUCAUCGAUUUUGAUUUUAAUAUAAUUUUUGGUUAAUUUGAUAGAUUUCUUUAGUUUAGAGUGUUGCAUAGGAAAUUCCUCUGAUUUUAUUUUUUUUUGUUGAUUUUUGUUUUACAUUUGUUUAGGAUAAUUUUUAGGAUAUUUAAGAUCUUUCAUAAAAAAUUCUUUUGAAUUUAUACAAUGAUUUUUCUAUUUUUGGAAUAAUUUUUGAGGUAUUUAAUGUGUUUCAAGGAAAAUUUUUUUUAAUUUAACUAUGUUGAUUGAUUUUCUUUUGUUUGAGGUAAUUUUUUAGAGUAUUAAAGUCACUUGUGGGAAAUUCUUUUCAAAUUUAAUUUUUUUUCGCCUUUUUUUCUGUUUCGAAUAAUUUCGAAUCUUUAAAAUAUUUCAUAAAACAUUUUUUUAUCCUCAUUUUUCUUAAAAUUGUAUUUAUAAUAUACUUUUUCAAUAAUAUAUUUUAAUUUUGAUAUUUAGAAAAAUUUUAUAAUCCAAUUUUUCGUUACAAUUUAAUUUUUGCGUUUAACAUUUCAAAUUUUCACUCACAUGAUUAUGCAUAUGUAACUAUGAAUUUCGAGAUGCCAUCAAUGAUAAAUAUUUCAGUAGACCCUUAAUCAAUCCUAAUACAUAAUAUAUGCAAUGCUAGAUCGAAUCGGCAACAAACGAGGCUUGUGCGUACUUAAAACAUUGAUUUUUAUUGGCCUUUCCAUUGUACAAUAAUAAAUAAUCGAUUAGUAAAACGUUAAAGGAGAAAUUAUUUAUGUGUAGGCUGUGUAACUAAAUAAACUUCAUCAUCACGUCAGUGUAGAACUAACUAACAAAUCAUUCCUAAUAUAAUAAUAUAUUUAAUGCAUCAUGUGAAUAAUGUAUAUACUUAUACGUAUAUAUUAUAUAUAUAUUUUUUUACGAUAUAUAUAUUUUAUCAUAUUUUUUCCUUUUUUUUCCUUUUUUUUCAAUAAUGAACAUCGAACGAGCUAAAUCGAACGAGUAAACGAGUUACGUGUUCAUUGUACCGUUUCCAAAAGAUCCAAAUUUCUCUUUUCACCCAUAUUUCUUUCAUCACAUUUUUUUUUAUUUCGAUUCCAUAGUUCGAUAUUAUUCAAAUUUCCCGCCAUCGAGAUUUAUAUACAAAGCGGAGCAAAAGAGGAGAAUUCGCAGCGAUUCGUUCUCAAAAUUCUCAAGCGAUUCUUGUGUCAAGCACCACCUCAUUAAAUACCAAAAUCAAUCAAAAAGAAUCGAAUUCGACCAUUCAAAAAGACGCUCGUAGUCUCAUGUGUCUCGCUCUCGUAAAUUGCAUCUUGAUGGAAAAUCGACUACGCUUUUAUAGGUCGAAUCUCGACACGAUUCGAUUUUUUUCGUUUUCCACCUUAAACGAGUUCAAUUCUACAAAACAUUUUACCAUUUUUUUAAAUUGAAACCGAUCUCAUUUUCAGCACCACCUCCGCGAUAUUUCUCACUUUUAAUCUUAAUUUUAAAUUUGUUGCAUCUAAUAAUUCUUUCCUUCUAUACUGAUUAUAAUUAUAUCUAUACUUCUCUAUAUAAUUAUCUAUUUCUUUUUGUUCUAUAAAACAACAAAUACACUCGAGACAAAAAUUUUUGCCUCUCUACAAAAACAUGUAUCACUUUUCUCGUUUCACUCGCUCGUCUACUAUUUUUCUAUAUUUUUUUUUCUAUUUUACUUAUUAUUAUGUUUUUUUCUUUUUGAGAAACAAAAAGAACAAAAAAAAACACGACAAGUUAGUACAAAACUCCCCGGCCUCGCUCGUGACUUUGAUUAAAAAAGGGUCGAGAGCGGGGAACAAGGGGUUGAACAUUGGUAACGAUUCGCUUGGUGGGUUAGGUAUCUUCUUUUUUUUUCUUUUGUAGAGAAAAACAACAAAAAAGCGAAAAAAAAAAAAAAUAAAAA